rnacentral:rRNA from 1 species
AUGUGUGUGGACUAUACGGACUUAAACAAGGCCUGUCAGGCUGAUCCUUUUGCUCUCCCUCAUAUUGAUCAGAUCAUUGAUGCUAUGGCGGGCUGUGAGCGUUUGAGUUUUUUGGAUGCUUAUUCUGGUUAUCAUCAGAUCAAGAUGGCAGUUAAGGACCAGGAGAAGACAACUUUUAUCACUCCCUUUAGAGCCUUCUACUAUGUGUCUAUGCCUUUUGGGCUCAAGAGUGCCCAGGUGACUUACCAGCGAUGUGUGCAGAAUUGCCUUCACAAUCAGAUUGGGUGCAAUGUUCAUGCUUAUGUGGAUGAUAUUGUGGUGAAAUCCAGAGAGAAGGAAACUUUGAUAAAUGAUUUGAAGGAGACCUUCAACAAUCUCCAGGUCUACAAGAUGAUGCUUAACCCAGCCAAGUGCGUUUUUGGUGUGCCGGCACGCAAGCUCUUGGGUUUUCUGGUUUCUAACAGAGGCAUCAAAGCUAACCCGGAGAAGAUCAAGGCAAUUACCUCCUUGGCAAAGCUGACGUGUAUCAAUGAUGUUCAACGUCUGGCGGGUCGUAUUGCUGCCUUAAGCCGUUUCAUAAGCCGGUUGGGUGAGAAGGCUAUACCACUGUACCAGAUGAUGAAGAAAACAGAUGACUUUGUCUGGAGUGAUGCUGCUAAUGAC